GAGAUUAUAUUUGUGCACAAAGAAUCGAUCAUUAAUAGAACUUAUUGGGACUGAACCUACCAGAUGGAAAAAUCAUGGUCGACCACCUGGUGCCGAUGUUGAAGCAAUAGUCGAUGCUACUUCUGUUAGACCAGAAGCAGUAUUUACUGUAAGUGCUGCAGGAGAUCUCUACGAAUAUGACCAGAGUUCUAAGCCAGCAUGGAAGAAACACAUACAAAAAGAAGGAUCAGAACUAGAUCUCUCUUUGGCUCCAUUGAAAGGUUGCAGCUUCCAUGGACUGAAUGGACCUACUUCAGUGUCAAUCUUUCUUUUAACCAAGAGUUCCUAUUCAAUCAAAGGAGAGCCACUGCCUUUUUCCCAUACCAAGAAGCAAUUAUUUUCUUCUUGCAAUUAGGGAGGAGACUUGGUUGAGAGGCAAUUCCAACAGAGGAAGUGGAAAUGGGUUCCCCAUGGAAGUCCAAGGAUCAUUUCUUGACAUCCAUCACAUGCAAUCCUCAAGAUGAACCAAAUGAGAACCUAAUACAAUGUUUCUCACUACAGCAGCUGGAUUAGUUUUUGAAUAUCGAAUUCCAAAACAAUCAGGUGCAUCCCAGGAGAACCAAAUUCUAGAGCAUUGGGUGAAUCACAUUCAUCCUUCAAAUGCAAAAAUAGCAAAACGAAUUACAGGGCUCCAAUUGCAAGUUGGCAGAAUGAUUUUUCCAUUAGAUGAUGGAAGGCUUUCAGAAUUGCAUCUACAGGUAUUGGUGGUGAAAGUUCAGGACCAAGUCAGCAGAUUAAUGCCCGGAGAAGAGUAUCCCCCAAGUAUGUAUGGUCCAUAUUAGAUGCUCCAGAAACUGAAGGAUGGAAUGCAGAAUACUGUACUGAAGAAUAUGGACCUACAAAUUGCAUUUCAGGGAUGAAAGAGGAAACCAAUGAUGAAGAUCUUACAGGAUUAAUAUCAAGAAGGAGAAAAGGAAUUAGUUCACAACAAAACUACUUGUUACUUGGCAUAUCUGGCAGCAGCUCAACCAAGACCUUAGAAGAUCU